rnacentral:misc_RNA from 1 species
UCACGUGGUCUGGGAACUCUACGCAAGACGUUCAUGGGCAGUGUUAGUGAUUACAUAGUGCACCAUGCACACAUACCAGUGACUGUUGUACGAAACCGAGACGAGGACAACAAGUGAUGAAUAUUAAUGAGUGCAUAUUGCAUAAUUUACGCAAAUUAGGAAAAACAGAUUCAUGUAUAAAAUUAUUGUACACUGCAAUGUUCUGAUACUGUUUUUGUAUUUACAUGUGUAUUAAAAACAAUUCAAGAAAAAACAUUGCUGGAUGAUUUUUAAGCACGCAGUGGUUGUAUGGCAUCAAAUACAUUCUUUAUAACCACGAUAGGAGACUGGUAGACUGACACUAUGUAAAUUAAUCUAUUGCGUAACUUUUUGAAACAAUACACCACUGAAAUUGUAUGAAUCAUCAGAAUGCUAAACCCGGGAUAUUAAACAUUCAUUUGAGAACAAAUGCGAUAAUAUUGUAAUAAACGAUUAUGUGAAAUAUUGAGACUACAUUUUUGGAUCGUUUCAAGAAAUUCUGAUGAAAAAAAUCUUUUGUAGAAAAUGACGCUGAACAUUCAAGACAUUUCAAAAUACAUUUGCAUUACAAGUUGCGUUAUUUUUUAGCUUUUAGAAAAGUUCUAUUUGACUAGUCGUAAAAAACAAAAUUGACAUCCUCAUUAUUUUUUUAUUGUUAGAACUGCAUUACAUGUUCUAAGAAUGUUCAUUUAUUUGUCUGUAAGUUACAGAUGUAAAAACUGGUUUUAAGUCCAGUCAAAAUCAAAAUUGAAUUAAGUUGUCAACGGUUUCUUUGUUCUUGAAGAUACAAAAGGCAAUAACCCAUAACGUACUGAGAAGACAAUAUUCCAUUAAGAUUAUCGCUCGAAAUAAAUAGUCAUGUAAUCUAACAAAUAAAACGCCCUUAUCUUGACCCAGUAUGUGUGUUUUGUUUCCUGCAAUGCUUUAUGAUGGGAAAUAAAGGUAUUUUACUAAU